ACGUUCUGGUCGUCUUCUACCUUUAGAAGGACUGAUCGAGAAAACGAUUACGGCGGAGGGGGAGAUUCGAACUUCAUCUUUCUCGUUUACUGUGGCGACUCGACACCGUUAGAUCAAUGGAAGCGGUAGAAAAAUCUGAAGAACCCAUCCCAGGCAAUUCUUCAAGAUUAGCUGGGAAUCCAAACUGGGGAACAGCAACUGUUGUUGGGGUCUUUGCAGGAUUGCUUUAUGGAGGCAGCAAAGAAGCUUCUGCUUCUGUGAGUAAAGAUGCAGAAGUGAUGUUGAAGAUGGGUA